UAUCUCUGUAGAGUCUGCAUAUCAAUAAGCGGAGGAAAAGAAACUAACAAGGAUUCCCUUAGUAACGGCGAGUGAAGCGGGAAGAGCUCAAAUUUGAAAUCUUCAAGGUUUACCUUGACGAAUUGUAGUUUAAAGAAGUGUUUUCUGUUGAAGUUUCGGUAAAAGUUCUUUGGAAUAGGACAUCAUAGAGGGUGAGAAUCCCGUAUUUGACCGUUAUUUUCAGCUGUGUGAUACACUUUCAAAGAGUCGGAUUGUUUGGGAAUGCAGUCCAAAAUGGGUGGUAAAUUUCAUCUAAAGCUAAAUAUUGGCGAGAGACCGAUAGCGAACAAGUACCGUGAGGGAAAGAUGAAAAGAACUUUGAAAAGAGAGUUAAACAGUACGUGAAAUUGUCAAAAGGGAAGCGUUUGACACCAGUGUUGUUUUCUCGAAAAUCAAUUAAAAAUGACUUGAUUUUGUGUUGUAUUGACCUUAAAAGCUUUCUUCACUCUUUUCAUGUCUUUUUAAUGCACUUUUCGUUUAACAAGUCAACAUCAGUUUCUUUUGUUGUAAAAAGGUCAUUGGAAGGUGGCUUUCUUUUCGGAGAAAGUGUUUAUAGCCUUUGACUCCUGCAAUCGGAGAGACUGAGGUCUGCAGCGUAGAUCCUUCUUGGAUUAGAUUCAUUUGUGCUAAGUUAUAGCCUUUUCAUAGACAACAUUGUUGACUAUAUUUAGUCUUGUAACUUACUCGCUUAUGUAAUUUUACCUACGCUUAGGAUGUUGAACGCGCACAGAGUCUC
rnacentral:rRNA from 1 species